GAUAAAGCAAAUAUGGAAAUAGAGGCUCAUGAGUUUUUUCUUUUCCGGGUGUAUGUAAAAGUUAUGGUGACACUGUAUUGUAGUCUAUUAAGGGUGCAAUAGUAUUAUGUCUAAAAAAUGUACCUAUCUUAAAUUUAAAAGUACCUGAUUGCUAAAAAAUGCUGACUGUCACCUCUGAGUACUAUGAUCUUUGCUGGUCGAGGGUCUUGCCUGCUAUUGCUGGCUACUGACUGAUCGGGUGGUGGCUGAAGGCUGGUGGCUACGGCUUAAUUCUUAAAAUAAGACAACACUGAAGUUUGCCUCAUCAAUUGAUACUUCUUUUCUAAAAGAUUUCUCUCCAGCACGCCUUGCUGUUUGACAGCAUUUUACACCCUGUAAACUUCUUUCAAAAUUGAGGUCAGCCCUUUCAGCUUUUGUGUGACAUUCUCAAGCCUCUGUCGUCAUCUCAGCAGCGUUCCCUGCACCCUCAGUGGAUUCCAUCUCCAGACAGCACUCUCGUAGCUCAUCUGUAAGAGGCAGCUCCUUGUCCCUUGAGAUGGCAGCAGUCAGGCCCCACUUCCGGCUCCACUUCCAGUCCCCCUGCUGUUCCCACCGCACCUGCAGCUCCUCCUCCACUGGAAUCCGGAAGCCCUCGAGUGGGCCACAAGCGCUGGACUCUGGUGAAGUGCUGGUGUUCUGACCUCCUCCCAUGAAUCCCAGAUGCUCUUAAUGUCGUCUUGAAUGGCGGGUCCUUUCCAGAGGCGUCCUGUUGACUUUGCCCAGAUCCAUCAGAGGGACACUGUUUAGUGUACUUUGCUGUGUGCAGUGCUGGGCCUCACGCAGGCUGGGCAAGCGCUCUGCGCUACUGAUGGCAGCCACGGCCUUAGGAAAUGUGUCUCUGUGAUAAUCAGACCUAGGAUCUACGUCACUCCUGAUCGGGAGCUGCACAGUGAGGCUGUUGGCAGGCAUGAAAGGACAUCAAUCUCGCGGAGCAUCUCCCCAGAGCCCCUGGGAGACCAGUGCGCUGUAGGCGAGCAGUAACGCUUGGAAAGGACUCUCAGGCAGCGGGCUCCACGGUGGACGUGCUCAGCAAGCCACGUGACAACAGGGACGUCACAGCCUUGGCCAUUCCCUUUAUGGAGCACAGGCAGCAGAGCUGUGUCAUUCGGAAGACCCCAACGGGCUUCACCUUCCCCUUGAAGUCACCAGCUGCCUUCGCCCCUAACAAGGAGUCAGCUGUCCUUUGACGACCUGCUCAGGCGCUGACUUCUCCGUAGCCAUCAAAGUCCUGGGCAGCACCUGCUUCCACAGAAGGCUGCUCCGUCUACACUGGAAAUCUGCUGCUGGUGCAGCGGCUCCAUCAGCCGUCCCAGAUGGAUCCUGGGGACAACUCUGAGCUGCUUCACCGCCCUUGCUGCGUCACCUGCACUGGGACUGGUGGAGCCUCAGGAGCGACCUCCGCAGCCUCGGCCGUUUCUCCUGCAGCUGCCUCACCUCUCGGUCCCCCAGGAGGGAGAGUGGGGGCCUGGCUCUGGCUACACCUGGCUCAAGGGAACGCUGUGGCUGGUUUGAUCUUCUGUCCCAACUGCCAAAACUUUCAUCAAUAAAACUUCCUACAGCAACAGGCUGUGUGGCCACUUUAUCGUCGCGUUUGCGGGAAAGCACUUCUCCCUCUCAGACUCUUCCUUUGUGUUCACAGCUUGGCUCUUGGAGAAGAGGCUGAGCUUUGGGCCUGUCUUGGCCUCUGCCCUGCCUUCCUCACUAAGCCCUAUCACUUCCAGCUUUAGAUUGAAAGGGAGACAGGAGAGGUGUGUGAAUCUUCCUUCCCCUUGAAGGCUUAGCGGC
rnacentral:lncRNA from 1 species